rnacentral:rRNA from 1 species
UACGUAGGGUGCGAGCGUUAAUCGGAAUUACUGGGCGUAAAGCGUGCGCAGGCGGUUUUGCAAGCCGGAUGUGAAAUCCCCGGGCUCAACCUGGGAAUGGCAUUCGGGACUGCAAGGCUGGAGUGCGGCAGAGGAGACUGGAAUUCCUGGUGUAGCAGUGAAAUGCGUAGAUAUCAGGAGGAAUACCGAUGGCAAAGGCAGGUCUCUGGGCUGACACUGACGCUCAUGCACGAAAGCGGUGGGGAGCAAACAGG